GCCUAGUCGUAAACUUUGAUGAUAAACUACAAAUAUCAUCCGCCAGGGAACUACAAGCGCAUCGCUCGAAACCCAACGGACUUGGCGGUGCCCCACACCCACCUAGAGGAGCCUGUUCUAUAACUGACAAUCCCCGUUCAACCUCACCACUCCUGGCCUCUUCAGUCUAUAUACCACCGUCGUAAGCUCACCCUGUGAAGGAUCAAUAGUAAGCAAAAUGGGCAAACCCCAAAACGUCAGGUCGAGGUGUAGCACAUGGAGUGGGAAGAAAUGGGCUACAUUUUCUGCCUACAGAAUAUCAACGGACAACGUCAUGAAACCUGCCGUUUAAAGGAGGAUUUAGCAGUAAAAAGAAAAUAGAGAGUUCUUUUGAAGCCGGCCCUGGGGCGCGC
rnacentral:rRNA from 1 species